UCCCUGGUGGUCAAGUGGUUAAGACUCUGUGCUUCUACAGCAGUGGGUGAGAGUUCGAUCCCUGGUCAGGGAA
rfam:TPA: Bos taurus chromosome 4, whole genome shotgun sequence.